rnacentral:rRNA from 1 species
UACAGAGGUCUCAAGCGUUGUUCGGAUUCAUUGGGCGUAAAGGGUGCGUAGGUGGCGCGCUAAGUCAGGUGUGAAAUUUCGGAGCUUAACUCCGAAACUGCAUUUGAUACUGGCGUGCUUGAGGACUGGAGAGGAGACUGGAAUUCAUGGUGUAGCAGUGAAAUGCGUAGAGAUCAUGAGGAAGACCAGUGGCGAAGGCGGGGUCUCUGGACAGUUCCUGACACUGAGGCACGAAGGCCAGGGGGAGCAAAACGGGG